rnacentral:rRNA from 1 species
UACGGGGGGUGCGAGCGUUGUCCGGAAUCACUGGGCGUAAAGGGCGCGUAGGUGGUUUGAUAAGGGUGUGGUGAAAGUCCGGAGCUCAACUCCGGAUCUGCCGUACCGACUGUCAAACUCGAGGGCUGUAGAGGCAGACGGAAUUCCGGGUGUAGCGGUGGAAUGCGUAGAGAUCCGGAGGAAGACCGGUGGCGAAGGCGGUCUGCUGGGCAGUUUCUGACACUGAGGCGCGACAGCGUGGGGAGCAAACAGG